rnacentral:rRNA from 1 species
GACGAACGCUGGCGGCGUGCUUAACACAUGCCAGUCGGACGGAAAGGCCCUGCUUUUGUGGGGUGCUCGAGUGGCGAACGGGUGAGUAACACGUGAGUAACCUGCCCUUGACUUUGGGAUAACUUCAGGAAACUGGGGCUAAUGCCGGAUAGGAGCUCCUGCUGCAUGGUGGGGGUUGGAAAGUUUCGGCGGUUGGGGAUGGACUCGCGGCUUAUCAGCUUGUUGGUGGGGUAGUGGCUUACCAAGGCUUUGACGGGUAGCCGGCCUGAGAGGGUGACCGGCCACAUUGGGACUGAGAUACGGCCCAGACUCCUACGGGAGGCAGCAGUGGGGAAUAUUGCACAAUGGGCGGAAGCCUGAUGCAGCAACGCCGCGUGCGGGAUGACGGCCUUCGGGUUGUAAACCGCUUUCGCCUGUGACGAAGCGUGAGUGACGGUAAUGGGUAAAGAAGCACCGGCUAACUACGUG